rnacentral:rRNA from 1 species
GACGAACGCUGGCGGCGUGCCUAACACAUGCAAGUCGAACGGAAAGGUCCUGCCUUUGUGGGGAGCUCGAGUGGCGAACGGGUGAGUAACACGUGAGUAAGCUGUACCUGACUUUGGGAUAACUUCAGAAAACUGGGGCUAUUACCGGAUAGGAGCUCUUGCCGCAUGGUGGGGGCGGGAAGGAUUCGGUGGUUGGUGAUGGACUAGCGCCGUAUCAGCUUGUUGGUGGGGUAGUGUCUUACCAUGGCUAUGACGGGUAGCCGGGCUGGGAGGGUCACCGGCCCCGCUGGGAUUGGAAUGCGGCACGGACUACUACGGGACGGAGCGGUGCAGAAUGGUGCACAAUGGGCGGAGGCCUAAUCCAGCCACGCCGCGUGCGGGAUGACGGCCAUCGGGUUGUGUUCCACUUUCGCCUGUGACGAGACGUGAAUGACGGUAAUGGGUAAAGAAGCACCGGCUAACUACGUG